AAUGAAAAAAAGGAGGAAAUAUCAUUCCCACACCUUCGACACUUUCAAUUAACACACAUUGAUACAUACACCACCGCCAUGGAGAUACACACACAGCGACGUUGUCGCCUCCUUCCGGCGAACGACGCAGCACAUUCAUUUUCGUCCCUCCCUCUGUUUCUCAGCCUCUCUUUUGUUGCUCAAACACACACACUCCGGUUUCCUUCCCUCUCUGGGUCGCUGCUGCCCGGCAGAUUCCGGCGUGUCAUCGCCAUUUUUCUGACCGGUCUAGGCUAGAAUUAUCUCUCCUUUACGUAAGGUAUCCCAGGCAAGGAGGAGCAGGAAUCUGGAAUUUCGAUGUCAACACUAUUUGGACUCGAGGUAGUGUAUUCUACAUUAGGUCUUAAUUCCUGAAUUAAGUCUGCGUAAUUGCAUAUAGAAUAUUAUGUGCUAAUCGGUGAUACCUUAUGUGAUUUGUAUAAGUUUCUUAUGACAUGAAAAAAAUGAGAAUCUUGGAUAUGUGAUGGUAUCGAGAGAAUUGGAAUUUAUCCGUUUAUUUGAUAUGAUACAGUGUGAAAAGAUGCUGCAAAUCUGUUUAUGUUAUAGUAUAUUAUUGGAAAUAUGCAUUGAGAUGAAAAUAUGUAUACUUGACGGUGUUUUGGCCCCGUGUUUUGUGGGUACAAUUGGUAUGCCAUAGGACAGUAUCGCUGCUGUGAUCUCUCGUCUUCUGGAUAACCGAAGUGAGGAUUGACAUCUGAUUGCUAUCCAAUCUAUCGUCUCUGUCUGAUAUACACCCUAAAUGGGUGGUCUGUGCGGAGUCAUGUAGAGGACAAAAUCCGUGUCAGUUCUGACUAAGCUCUGUUUCUGAUCUGGUCCGCGUCCCCUAGUUUGUCACUAAGCACUUAAAGGGGCUAUAUGUGUUUGAAUAUGUGAAAAUGUUGGUGAUCUGCAUAUGUGUUGCAUAUGUGUUGGUGACUGGAUAGUAUUGUUAUAUAUUCUGUAUUUCACUCGA